UAGUAUUAUUUAUGUGCAUCCUUAUUUGUAAUGUUCAACAGUGAGUGUAUUUAUUGUUUUCUCCAUAGGAAUUAAGUGUAAAAGUGGUUAAGCCAUGAACCAGAUAAACCAGCUCAGAGAAGAAUCACAACCUUAUGAUUUGAUUUGUUUGACUGGUCUUGCAGGUAAGAGAGUACAGCACUGCUAUUGGCUGAUGAGCUGAAUCCCCAUCAGGCUUUAGGUGUGGUGGAGACAAUGGAGGAGAUGCAAUCCAGAAACCUUCAGUUGAUAAACAAGAUGGCAGCAGUACUCAAGGAAUCUGGAGAUGUAUAGGGCAGGGUAAAUCGCUCGAAUCACUCAAUCGCUCAUCCUGCUGCACUGCCAGAAUCCCCAGAUCUUCUCCAGACUGAAAGCCAAACUGCUGCAUUACCUGCAGGGCAGUGUGUAUCCAUACGAGGUGACCAUGCUAACCAGAGUUCAGUCCAUGCUUCCUUCUCCCCGUCCUGAUGAGGCCGUCCUUUUCCAGGUGAACGGCAUGAUCCCGCAGUGCAACCUUAAUGACCUCAACACUUAUAUAUAAGGCUA